ensembl:snRNA
AUGUUGUAUGAAAGGAGAUAAGGUUAGUACUCCCCUUGAUAAGAAUGGAAGCAGUCCUAGUGACCUUUACAAUACAUAUAUAGUUAAGGCAUUGCCUCCUACUCAGUAACAUGUAAGCAUGUAU